AAGUCAUUCCAAGUGUUUUGAUGAUUGUGAUUCCAUUUGAGGUGUCACACUUGGGGCACUAGGCACUCAAGCUUCAUGAAGACUUUCUACACCAAAAAGGUAUGUAUUCUGUCCUACUAUAUUCAUUGUUUUAUAUGCUAGAUUAGGAUAAUACCUUGGAAGUUCUUAUUUGCAUGUAUAAUAGAGAAAACAUAGAUCCAAGGUAUUUAGGGUUGCAUGUACACUUAGGAGUGUUAGAAUGCUCAAAACCCAACAGUAGUAUCAGAGCCUAGGCUUGUUUUCUUGUUAUACCUGCAAUAGAAGCUGAAAAAACGAAUCUGGUGCUGUCUGGCCAUCAGACUCGGCGAGUCCAUCAGGAGACUCGACGAGUCCAUGCCUAAAAAGUGAUGAAUUCGAUCCAACUCGCCGAGUUUGUUCAUGCACUCGACGAGUUGGACCCCCAGACAGCAUAUUUUCGAGUUUUUUGGCUAGAAAUGGACUAGGAACAUUACCCUAAGUUGUUUUUGAACUUAUAAACUUGUUUUUGAUGUGGUAAUGUUCAUGCUAAUCCAUUUUCAAAGAUAAUUGUCAAUAGAUUCAUGUUUUGUAUUAGUUUAAGGUUUAGACUAAUUACAUGAAAAAGUUUGAUUUGAAUUAUCUUGUUCUUAUGAGUUGCUUAGAUUAAUAGAAAAGUUGAGUGAAAUAGUUGUUUUCAAUCCAUUUUAAUCUAAGAGUUGAGUAUAAAAUGUGUUUGUGUAACUUGUCCUCAAGUUACAUGAAGAGUCACAUUAAAGACUCAUAAAAUUCAUAAAAGUUGGCAAUGGUUACAAAAUGAAGAGUCUUGUGUCAUUGAAUAAUUUUUUUUGACUCCAUAACUUGUCCUCAAGUUAUGGAAGUUCAAGAGUCACUUCAUUAAAGAAAAAUAUGUAACCAUAAUUAAAUCCAUAAGUUAUAAAAUAAAGAAAAAGUUAGUUCUUUUAUUAGUUUAAAGUCUUCCAUAACUUGUCCUCAAGUUAUGGAACUUGAAGAGUUUUUGGAUUAAAACUACUUUAAACACAUAAGUUAUGGAAUUAAUUAGUUUUGAAUAGUUUCAAAACUUGCCCUCAAGUUUUGGAAUUUGAAAAGUUUUCAAGUAUGAAUACUUUAAUUCCAAGUUAGCCCUUAGAAUUUUAAAAGUUAAAAUUCAACCCUUAUACUUUAUAAUAUUAUAAGUUAAUAAUAUAUAUAUGUAUAAGAGUAAAGUCAGUCUUACCGCUAGUACGCCUCAUUCACGAAGCCGGUCUAUAAGGUGGGUAUAAGGUUGUUGCCUAUAAAAUGGCAACUUAAUGGGUGUCCACUCUCACCCACCGCUUGCUUGACUGGUGGAGGGUCGUUAGCCGAACGGGUUUGACAGGACUAGAAUUCUCCCUUCAUUAAAAGUAUUAAUGAUAAUACUAAGUAACUAAACUCUUAAUAAUACCCAAUCUUAGUUACUUAGGAAAAAUGUGAAUAAGGUGCUAAUCCAUGAAAUUACACUUUACACUUUGUCUAAGUCGUUAGUGGAGCGUGUGUGGUUAACCGGCACACUAACUUGGACUUAACAAGGUAGGUAAAGGGUGACUUAAUAUUUAUCAUAGUAUCGAUGGAGCGUGUGUGGUUAACCGGCACAUCGAUUGAGGGGUAAUUUAUUAAGGGUACCAAGUGAUUUGCAUGGUUACUUCACACCUUGUUUUGUGAUCCUCGGCAUCCCAGUCACAAAACCUGAAGGGCACACUCGAGAUUGAAACAUGCCUUUGAAAAGUUCAAUGAAUCUCAAAGAUCUAGGAGUUUCAAAACCAAUUAAAACCUAAUAAUACAUUUCGUUUAUCUUGGUGGAAAUUGGUGAAUCGUCAUUCACCUACCUUCAAAUAUUUUAUAGCUUGGAUUACGGCAUACCUCUUCUAAGUUAUAAAAUAGUUUGUUGGGUCCUAGCCUUAAUAUUUCAUAUUGGGUGUCAUAUUAAGGACUUUAAAUCAACUAUCUUGAAUAUCUCCCAAAAGAUGUCUGGUUUAGACACCUAUGAUCUUCCCAAAUCUCUUGAAACAAGGUUUCCUAAUGAAGAUGAUGUCCCAUGGAUAUCAUACUUCUUCACCUCUUCAAAUUAUUCUCCCUAACCCACAAGUUCUUGAAAAGUUUAAGGUCACUCAGGCCCUAUUGGCAAGGCAAGGUCUAGGUGUGGUCACAUCUUGGAGAUGUAGUCACAUAUUGACAAGCCGGGAGAGUUGGGUGUCAAAGUCUUGAGAAAGUUGGUGGUUCAACCACUUUCUAAGUCACAUAGUGAGUUCCUUUGGGACACCUAUGAAACAGACUAUGACAAGACCCUUAAUGAUCUUAUCUAUUUGCUAAGAUCAACUUCCUAAAACUUUAUGGACAUUGACAAUGAUGACAUUGGAUAUCCAGUAAAGCAUUCUCUUCCCAAUGGAAAGGGAUCGGCCAUAGUCAACUCGGUUGACCAAAUGGUAAAGAGAAAAGCUAAGUCUGUGAUAGUCCCGUGUACCAUUAUCAAAGGGUCCAUAUGUUUAUAUUGCCAAAGGAAGGGGCAUUGGUUGCGAAGCUGCCAAAUUUACCUAAGGAUGUUAAAGUCAAUAAGUUUGACUCUACUUCAGGUAAAGUCCACUAUCUAACUCUGUUAAGUUUCUAUUCUGAGAUUCUUGAUACAUGAUGUGACUGGGUCACAUGGUGAUGUUUUAAGAAUCAAAGAAAAGUGAAGAAACUUAAAGAAAGAAUAUGCUGAAUCUGAUGGCGUAGAUGGAUUUCUAUCGCAUAGUUUGAAGAUCGGAUUCUUGAGCUACUUCUUAGGAGUUAUGAGAUAUUGCUUAGGAAUAGAUAACAACAAGUUUUCAUAUGGAUUGUAAGGAUAAGUUUUUCCGCAAAGUUUUAAAAUAAAAGAAAAUUUUUUAUUUUAUUUAUUUUAAAAUAUCCUUACAAUGGCAUUUGAGGAAAAAUUGUUGCUUAUAUGAUUCCAUUAAGAGCAAGAGUGGAAAUAUGAAAUUGAUUCUUUCAUUUGUGGUAAUGUCUAAAUUUACCAAAUAAGGAAAGAUUCUCAUCACCCAAGUUUCAAUUGGACCGGAACUUGGAAUCAUGCAAGUUGUAUAGCAUGAUGAAUGAGAACUUUCAAGUUUUGGAAAAUUAAGACUAAUUACUUGUUCACAUGGAUGUGUGAGUCAAGUAAAGGACUUAGGGAUCGAGUACACAUUCUUGUGCACUGAUUAAGUCCACCACUAAAGAUCGAUAAGAAGAAUCAAAUAAGGCAGAAGGAUAAAAGUUUCUCAAAUCUGAAAAGAUGGGAGAGUACUUUAGUAUCAGUUUUGUGAUCAUCUUAAUGAUUAAGAAACCAUAUCAAAAUUAGUUCUCUAAGGAAAUCUUAGUGCAUUCUUAUGACUAAGAAGAGGAACUUGAAUUGUUGAAAUGGUUAAAUCAAGAAGAUGAGUCAUACUUCGUUCCAAUACAAGUCUUAGAGUCAUACUCCAAGAUUGUCAUUUGAGUGACAUGUCUUAAAGAAGGUUUAAAACACUUGUCAAAUGUAAGAGUAAAAGUUUUCUACUCUUGUACAUUUGAAAUUGGUAAGUUGUGAUGUUUUGGAUAAAACAAAGACCAACUUAGGCCAAUUGGGUAAAGUGUUUUUCUUGAUUAGAAUCCGCACUAUCUCUUGGAUGUUUGACAAGGGAGUCUUAUAUGUCAAGAGGACAGUGGGAGUCUUAAAGGUCUUGAAAGUCUCAAGAAAUAAUCAAGAAUAAAACCUAAAGUUCUUCACUAGCACACGACUUGAGGUUUAUAACCUAUCGUGUUGACAUAUCUGUGCCCAUUCCAGUUAAAGUUGGCUUUGCAUAUGAGUUCUUAGAGUUCUCAGUUUGUUGCAUAACAACUUGGAAGCAAUGGCAGGCCCUUGAGCUGCCAGGUGGCAAGAAGUUAAGAUUGAGUUCAAUCCAUAUGGUUUUGGAUUUGUCAUUAUCUUUGUCUUGUGAUUAUGGUUUGACAAAUUCAUAUGGGUAGGAACUCAUACACCAUAUAAAUCUAAGUGUCAUAAGGUUUCUCUCCGAUUCAUGAAAAUGAUGGUGAGGAAACGCUUUCACUAAGUAGAUUUUACGAAGAUAUCAAUUGUGUUAUUUGCAUUUUCAAAAGUCGUUAGUGGAGCGCGUGUGGUUAACCGGCACACUAACAUGGACUUGUGAGAAAUGGCAAAUGCCUAAGCAAUUGAGACCAUGAUUACGGUAUCCCUUUUCAUGGUUCUUGAAAUUGCUUAGACACACAGGUGAGCUAUCUACGGAAAGGGUGUAUGAAUCUAAAUUUCAGACUGUCCAGCUGAUUUCUGAGUACAUGUCAAAGCUAGUGGGAGCAUAAGUGUUAUGCUAAUAAUCAUCAUGUUAGUGGGAGCAUGAUAAUUAUGAUAAGUAUUGCAAGUUAGCAAUGUUAAUUAUAGAAAACAAAAGUUUCAAUUGGGAAAAAGUUGUUUUGCUAUAAUUAAGGGAGAGGAAAUUAUGCUUCAUCUCAAAUCUAUAAGCUUAGAUCGUGAGGUUUUAAUCAUUUAGUCAAGGAUAUAUAUGAAUUUCAUGUUGGAAUGGCUCAACAUAAGGAAAUUCUGUAUAUGGGUCCAUUAUUUGCGUUCUAAAAUUCGAUUAUGAUUACGGCAUCCCUUUUCAUAAUCUGAAUUAUGAGAACUUGGCAAAUUGAAAUGGAAAUAUUAUAGCAAAAGACUGGUUUAGUCUUUAUGUAAGACAUCAUGAAUCGUGUCCCAUAUGCUUCGGAUAUAGGAUCGAUUACAUGUGCUAUAUUCAUCCGUUCUAAAAUUUUCCAAAUGCCUGGGGCAUUAAGAAGGGAAAAGGUUUAGAACUGGAUAUGACUAAAAGGAUUAAACAAUUGUCGAGGACAAUCUAAGGUUUACCAAAGAUUGGUUACUCAAGGACAAUUGGAAGUAUAGUGAUAAUUCUGGAAGGACCAUAUUGACAUAAUCUGUAAGGAGGCAACUCUUGUUCAGAAGUGAUAGUCAAAAUGGAAUCUGGAAAUGUUUCAAAGUUAGAAUUUUCAAUCUGUGUAAGAUUAAGGAAACUUAAUGCAAGAAGGAUAUUUCCAAGGAGUUGAUCUCCUUUGGAAUACUCUGUAAUGAUUGUUGCCAAGUCUUUGUGACUUUGUGCAUAAUCAUUACAAGAGGAUCAAUGCAUAUAAGUUUAGAAUCUAACAGAUUUCAGUAAAUGGCAUGAAUUUGGAAUUCUUGCAUUUGCAGUAAGGAUUUGGGAGUGUGAAAAGAGAAUCAUUGAAGUUAUGUUCAAUUGAUCUAGUUCACAAAGUAAAGAUCAUAGACAAACAUAGUAUGCAUACUUGGUGUGUGGCAUGACUAGUGUUUAAGAAAACAUAGUGUACAUGCUUGGAGCAUGGGACAACUAUUGUUUUAAAUUCAAGAAUAAAGUUGAUAGCUGAAACAGUAUACAAUGAAUAAUGUGUAAUCAUAUGGUGAUAAAUAAAAGGUGUUUUAUUUAUGUUCAAAGGGUUGAUACCAUAUUGGAUUCAAUUAUUAUUGUGUUUCAUUUUGCAUGUUUUGACUUCCCGAAUAAACUGGGUUAUUCUUCCGGAAUGACUAAGUUAUUCAAACCAUCCACAGUCGGUCAUAUGUUGGAAGUAGAUAUGAAUUAAGACUGUCAUGGGUUGGCUUGUAGAGGUCUAAGGUGUUGGACAAAGGGCUACAACACUCAUGAGUGCUCAUAAGUUCUGAGUAUUGGAUUCAACCCGCGCUCAUUGGAAUCACUUCAUGGAUUUUAUCACGAGUGAUCAUGAGACGAUAAUAUCUUAUAUUCUUCAAACCUAGAGAUAUGAGUUGUUACUAUGAGUUGAUAGUACAUUGAUUGCACGAAAACGCAUUUGGUAACUCGGUGCUAUAAAACGUGCCUUUGUGUAUGAUUCAACAAGUAGUAGAACAAGCCAUAUGAGUCGAAGUUUAUCCAUUCCUUUUACCUUCGGGAUAAAAGCGAUAUCUGUGGGCCCCUCGAUGAUUUGAUGAUGACAAAUGGAAGUGCUCGGCCGGGCCAGGACUGAUUUGAUUUGUUCAAUUAGUCAGUCGUCAUAAAUCGGAAAUCGGGAAACAACAAAUGGACAGAGAGAAUGAUUAUAAUCCAUGUCUCAGUCCAUAUGAUAUCUAGAAUGGAGGAAUAUAUGAUCCCUUAUCUAAUGGACAAGUCAUUGACAAAGGUCAGAGUUCAUCUACAAGGUCAGAGUUCGACAGAAGCUUUUGAGAGCUACGAUUGCCAGUUGGUUCCUGAAGUCAUACGCAAUAAUAGUUUUAGACUUAUCCAAGUGGGAGACUGUUGGAUUAAUGUCUAAGUCCAUAACUAUAAUUGGUAAGACUUGACCCGACCCGGCAUGGUCCAUUUGGGUUGCAUACCAUCAUGCACUUGGAUAGACUAUAAUGAGAGAAAUAAGACACUUAUGGUUAUUAAUAUAUUAUAAGUUCUAGUAUAUUAAUAAUAAGAAUAAUAAGAUUAUUUAAUUAGUAUUGAUCAAGAAUUAAUCUAGGAUUAAUUAAGUGAUCAAAAGAAGACUAAUUAAAUAUAUGGGUUGAUUGUGUAAAUCAUCCAUACUUGUAUAGUGGGCUAAUGCUCCAUGGAUAAUCAAGUUGGGCUAAAACCCAUAGAAUGGUCCAUGGAUGCUCCAUGGUGUAUUUGAACCCAUGGAUCCAAGGAAAUGGAAAGUCAUGACAAUUAGGGUUUGCCCUAAUUGUAUAACUAUAUAAGCAUCUUAUUAUUGAGGAAAAAUCGGCCACUAGAGAUAGUGAAGAAAGGGCUAGCCGAUUUUGAAGAGUGUAGAAUUCUCUCAAAUCAUUCCAAGUGUUUUGAUGAUUGUGAUUCCAUUUGAGGUGUCACACUUGGGGCACUAGGCACUCAAGCUUCAUGAAGACUUUCUACACCAAAAAGGUAUGUAUUCUGUCCUACUAUAUUCAUUGUUUUAUAUGCUAGAUUAGGAUAAUACCUUGGAAGUUCUUAUUUGCAUGUAUAAUAGAGAAAACAUAGAUCCAAGGUAUUUAGGGUUGCAUGUACACUUAGGAAGUGUU
rnacentral:lncRNA from 1 species